AGCUCAUCCUAGAGGGUUGGGGGAGUUUCCAGGGGCUGAGCCGUCUAGGACCUUCACAGCCUCAGCAGCAACCGGCCAGGAGUCAGGAGAACGGGUAGAGAGGUACCAAGGGCCGGUGUUCCAGGCCGAGGGAACAGCCUGUGCUGAGUGGGUGGAGUGUGGGGGCUGCGGGGAUCAGCGCGUAGACAGGGAGGAAGCCAGACAAAGGGCUGGGGUCCACUUGGGAUCUUGUAAGCCAAGCUAUGACCUUGAUUCCAUGAGCACUGGGGGCCUUUGCAGCUCGUAAGCGGGAGGCUGUGUGUGUGAUGAGGUCUGCGCUUCAGGAAGAGCAGGAGAGAGAAUACACUCUAGGGGCGACAGUGGAGACAGCAGGAGGCUGUUUCAUGUGUCCCCCAAAAGUGAGAGUGGCCAGGUAAUCACGUCUGGGCUCCAGAGCCUUGACUUACCACCACACCACACCGAGCCUGUUGCAGAAGGGAACCAUCAAAGGAUCUUAAAUAGGGUAGAACAUGCUCUGACGUCUAGGGACCUCGUACCAGCCUGCGUCACCACCUCCACAUCUGGAAAACCAGGACAAGUGACGCACCUGGCCAAGGGUGAACCUCACACACGGUGAAUGGAACGUUCUGCCCAGCCAAUCCUCAGUCAGCCACUCUUGGCUCAGCCUGCUCAGGGGAUGACUCGGGAGAUGAGGUCUAUUCCCGCGUGCCCCUCUUCUCCUAGCACGUUCCCCAGCUGCCCCUGCCUCUGUGGGUCAGUGGACACACGUCCCCCUGAUGGCACUGCAAUCAGAACACAAACAGGAGCUGAGCCACAAGAUACAUCUCCAGCCAGAGGGCUGCGGCUGGUGGGUAACCCACGGGUGUGGAAUUUCACCUUCUUUCUUUUUAAUGACGGCCUGAGAACUGGCUGUCAUAGUAUCUAGAAAAUGCAACAUUCAAGUGAAUCAUGGGAGUUCAAAGCCCGCCCCUCUCAUCCUGACACAUGACUAGGGGCCAAAGAGUGUUCUGUGAUCUGAAAAGACACGGCCCUUCUUCUCCUGGUCCUGAGGACCCAGGCAAGGGUCAGUGACCAGGCCAGGCCAGAGCCAGCAUCCGGCCCAGCCAGGCGGCCUCUCCUAGGCCAGCUGGGCCUCAUCCCAACCCACUGUUCCUUUUUGAAAUGGUUCUAUGAAGAGGGAUGGAGUUUCUGUCUCCUCCCUCAAGGAGAUGGAUUCUAAAAAUGGAGGAAAAAUCAAUAUCAUUAUGAAGAAGCCAAGGAGAGGGAGUGGCGAGAGGCCGCUGGCAGCUCUAGAUGUGAUCGUGUCUUUAGGCCUGGAGAGAACUAAUGCAAGAAACUCCCAACAAUCGCAUCCUUCCUGGUCACAGAGGGGAAAGGUCAUCCCUGCAUUUGGACAAGGGGGUCGCAGGGAGACAAGCUCUGUCGGUGUCUGGCCAAACGUCACAAUAGAUUAUUGAACAGCUGCUUCCUGUGCACUCAGAAAGGAAGUCAAUCACUAGGAGCCCCCAGGGGCUCCAUGGAGAACAAGCAUGCUUUCAUUUUUCAGGAGGGCCACUGGCCUGGAAGACCAGACAGAAGGCUGCAGAGGCUGGUGCUGCUCCACAUCCACUCAGGCCCAAGCCUGACACCUUGGAGGACACGCUGGAGACACGUGGCCUCACUUUCUUCCUCUACAAAACGGGGAUAACGCCGUCAGCUUCACUGAGUCCUGCCUGGAGCACGGCAGUGAGGCCGGAGGUGCUGCAGCUACCUUGAAACCAGGAAGACAAAAUCCACAUGCUACGGAUGGCAGAACAGCAGCCAGGAGAAGCCUGGGUCCCUGACUACUUCCUUGAGACGCCCUGUCAGCUCAACGGGCCACCUCAGUACUUCUUGUCACAGCCAACCGAAGAAACAGAUCAGUCUCACUCCAUAAACCAAGCCCCAGCCUCUCUUAAUUCAACCUCAGUGACCAAGAACGGAGCAUUUACAGAGUGCCCAGCCCGCGAUGGGACCUGAAAGGUCACAGAGCAUUCAUCCCCACAGCGGCUGAGAGAGGCAGGGAUCCUCCAUCUCACUUUGCAAAAGGGGAAACUGAGGCUCAGCAAGUCACUUGGCCAUAAUCACUCAGCUGGGAAUUGGCAGAGCUGGGGUUCGACCCCAGGCCUACCCAGCUCCAGCAUCUGCACUGUCCCAGCACACAGGCACCCCCGGAGCUGUGUGGGGCUGGGGGUGAGCUCUCAGUCAGGAACCAGGAUGUCCCUUCAGCAUCUGCCCUCCAACCUCAGGACCCUCAGGGGUUGCCUGAUCUGGCCCACUCAGAGAGCACAAACGGGUCACCUUUGGUCAGCAUCCGGCUUGCAGACAAAUUUAAAAAUGAGUUCAUUGCCAACAGUGAAGAACUGGGAUGUUCAAAUAAACACUGAGUGCCUAUUUCUCUAGAAAAACUGAGCUAUCUGGCCACCGCGGGCCCACAUUCCCACAGGGUGCAGUGAGCUGCCCCAUCAGCCAGGACACACGCUGUCUGGUUUGCCACUGUCCCCGCCUGGCCUGCAGGACCUGUGGAGCCCUGUAGGCAUCCAAGCUGGC